CUCCAUAUUGCGAAUUUCUCGAUAGUGUCAAACCAUUGGGGGUUUAUUGUACCGUGAACGUCAUCUUGGUUUGUAUUUAUGUCAUUCUUCUGUUAUAUCUUUUGCCAGUACCAUUUGUCUUUUUCACUCCACACCUCUACUCUUUCGCCUUGCACCUUUGACAGCAGAGGAACCGAAACGUCUAACGAAGAAGAAAACAAAGCAAAAAAAGUAUUUUUGAAAUGUUUUGCCUCUUCCCUGUUUUGCUUCAAAAUCAGUUCCCGAAAAAAGUGCCAAACAGCAGGAUGUUUACAAACCCGGCAGAGCAUUCACGGCGUGUUACGAACCAUGUCCACAACAUCAAACCCGCCAGCAUCGGAGCCAAGAUCGAAGUGAUGAAAGUGUUCCUGUUCCCGGAGAGGUGAGUCCAUUUUUUUUCUUAGCGGCGGGUUUUUUUUCCGUGGCUCGUGGUCACCGACAUACUUGUAGACAACGACGGGUUUAACCGUGACUUCGUCAAGAAGAUUACGAACUGGCUCAAGGCGGCGAUGACCGGCACCUGUUCUGCCAAUCUGCAUCUGCUGAAUAAGGAGACGACCAGUGCCGCCAGGUUGGCCUCGACGGAUGUUCCUUCGACAGAGGUACACAGGCUGCCAGUUGAACCAGAUUUUCCGCACUCAACUUUACCUCGGAUGAUUGCAGAUACGAGUUGCCCAAGUUGCUGGAAAAGUUUGUACUGUGUUGGUAAUUGCCCAAGAACAUUAAUUCGCUGGCAAAGCUGCAGGGUGAUACGAGUGCAGCUGAACCCAAGGUUAAUCUUCGCUUGAACUUUGCCCCGCUGAAAAGAUCAAGCUCACGUCCGGAUCGCUGCUGUAACAUUCGUACUACAAACACCUGCCGGCCACUACGACUACGAUUGAUGGCGGAACUUCCGGCAGCGGUGGUGGCAGAACCUGGGUUCCGCGGUACGAAGGUGGCGGUAAUAAUCAUGAUGUCGAACGCGUCAAGAUCCCGCAACUCCGACGACCUUGAAGGCGGUUACUGUCCGUGCAACUAUUUCCUCUUCGAUGCGUCCAACCACAACUUGAAAGGCCUUGCCCUCUAAACGUGUAGUUGGUCUACAGAUGACUUUUACAAAUCAUUG